CCUACGGGAGGCAGCAGUGGGGAAUUUUGGACAAUGGGCGAAAGCCUGAUCCAGCAAUGCCGCGUGCAGGAUGAAGGCCUUCGGGUUGUAAACUGCUUUUGUACGGAGCGAAAAGGCUUUCUUUAAUAAAGAGAGUCCAUGACGGUACCGUAAGAAUAAGCACCGGCUAACUACGUGCCAGCAGCCGCGGUAAUACGUAGGGUGCAAGCGUUAAUCGGAAUUACUGGGCGUAAAGCGUGCGCAGGCGGUUAUAUAAGACAGUUGUGAAAUCCCCGGGCUCAACCUGGGAACUGCAUCUGUGACUGUAUAGCUAGAGUACGGUAGAGGGGGAUGGAAUUCCGCGUGUAGCAGUGAAAUGCGUAGAUAUGCGGAGGAACACCGAUGGCGAAGGCAAUCCCCUGGACCUGUACUGACGCUCAUGCACGAAAGCGUGGGGAGCAAACAGGAUUAGAUACCCUGGUAGUCCACGCCCUAAACGAUGUCAACUGGUUGUUGGGUCUUCACUGACUCAGUAACGAAGCUAACGCGUGAAGUUGACCGCCUGGGGAGUACGGCCGCAAGGUUGAAACUUAAGGAAUUGACGG
rnacentral:rRNA from 1 species